rnacentral:rRNA from 1 species
GGAAUUGUUCGCAAUGGGCGCAAGCCUGACGACGCAACGCCGCGUGGAGGAUGAAGACCUUCGGGUCGUAAACUCCUUUCGACCGAGAUGAAUACGUGCCGGCCUAAUACGUCGGCACGCUGACAGUAUCGCGGGACGAAGCCCCGGCUAACUCCGUGCCCGCAGCCGCGGUAACACGGGGGGGGCAAGCGUUGUUCGGAAUUACGGGGCGUAAAGGGUUCGUAGGUGGCCAACUAAGUCAGACGUGAAAUCCCUCGGCUCAACCGGGGAACUGCGUCUGAUACUGGUUGGCUUGAGUGCAGGAGAGGAACGCGGAAUUCCAGGUGUAGCGGUGAAAUGCGUAGAUAUCUGGAGGAACACCGGUGGCGAAGGCGGCGUUCUGGACUGUAACUGACACUGAGGAACGAAAGCCAGGGGAGCAAAC